AAACUUUGCAAUGUGCGAAAGCACGACAAGGUUAAUCCGAGUGAUUCCUGCUAAAGGAAUCUUUUGUUAGUCAUAAUACCACUGAUGAAUAAGGGGUGGGCAAGUUCUGGUGUCAGCCGCCGCGGUAAAACCAGCACCUCAAGUGGUCAGGAUGAUUAUUGGGCCUAAAGCAUCCGUAGCCGGCUUUGUUAGUUUUCGGUUAAAUCUAUAUGCUCAACAUAUAGGCUGCCGGGAAUACUACAAAGCUAGGGAGUGGGAGAGGUAGACGGUACUCCGUAGGAAGGGGUAAAAUCCUUUGAUCUAUGGAUGACCACCUGUGGCGAAGGCGGUCUACCAGAACACGUCCGACGGUGAGGGAUGAAAGCUGGGGGAGCAAACCGGAUUAGAUACCCGGGUAGUCCCAGCUGUAAACUAUGCAAACUCAGUGAUGCAUUGGCUUGUGGCCAGUGCAGUGCCGCAGGGAAGCCGUUAAGUUUGCCGCCUGGGAAGUACGUACGCAAGUAUGAAACUUAAAGGAAUUGGCGGGGGAGCAC
rnacentral:rRNA from 1 species